rnacentral:rRNA from 1 species
GCUGGCGGCGUGCUUAACACAUGCAAGUCGCGUGCGCAGUUGCCGUAGCAAUACGGUGAUGGGCGCACGGCGCACGGGUGCGUAACACGUGGGCAAUCUGCCCUUUGAUGGGGAAUAACCCGCCGAAAGACGGGCUAAUUCCGCAUAAGAUUCUUUGGACCUCGGUCUGAAGAUUGAAAGCAGCAAUGCGUCGAAGGAGGAGCCCGCGCCCGAUUAGCUAGUUGGUGAGGUAAUGGCUCACCAAGGCAAUGAUCGGUAGCUGGUCUGAGAGGAUGAUCAGCCACACUGGAACUGAGACACGGUCCAGACUCCUACGGGAGGCAGCAGUGGGGAAUCUUGCACAAUGGGCGAAAGCCUGAUGCAGCGACGCCGCGUGGGGGAUGAAGCAUUUCGGUGUGUAAACCCCUUUC